GAUUUUGAAGUCGAAGUCGCCCACACUAUCAAAGCUCCUUUUGGUAUACUUUUGGUUGAACUUUGAAAUGGCAUGUAUAGGACCACCCUUUUGUUGUUGGUCAUGAACCCUUCGGUAUUGUGUAAAUUUGGAUAGCCAUGCGAAAAUGGCUUAAAUAUACUUUGAUCAUAGCAUUAUAAUCAUUUUGUAUGUUGUCCGUCGAGAGGUAUGGAAAUGUUGGCAACGGUUAGCCAUGGGAAUGGUUA
rnacentral:lncRNA from 1 species